AUUGAACGCUGGCGGCAGGCCUAACACAUGCAAGUCGAACGGUAACAGGAAGAAGCUUGCUUCUUUGCUGACGAGUGGCGGACGGGUGAGUAAUGUCUGGGAAACUGCCUGAUGGAGGGGGAUAACUACUGGAAACGGUAGCUAAUACCGCAUAACGUCGCAAGACCAAAAAGGGGGACCUUCGGGCCUCUUGCCAUCGGAUGUGCCCAGAUGGGAUUAGCUAGUAGGUGGGGUAACGGCUCACCGAGGCGACGAUCCCUAGCUGGUCUGAGAGGAUGACCAGCCACACUGGAACUGAGACACGGUCCAGACUCCUACGGGAGGCAGCAGUGGGGAAUAUUGCACAAUGGGCGCAAGCCUGAUGCAGCCAUGCCGCGUGUAUGAAGAAGGCCUUCGGGUUGUAAAGUACUUUCAGCGGGGAGGAAGGGAGUAAAGUUAAUACCUUUGCUCAUUGACGUUACCCGCAGAAGAAGCACCGGCUAACUCCGUG
rnacentral:rRNA from 1 species